rnacentral:rRNA from 1 species
GACGAACGCUGGCGGCGUGCCUAAUACAUGCAAGUAGAACGCUGAAGAAAGGAGCUUGCUUCUUUUGGAUGAGUUGCGAACGGGUGAGUAACGCGUAGGUAACCUGCCUUGUAGCGGGGGAUAACUAUUGGAAACGAUAGCUAAUACCGCAUAACAGCUUUUGACACAUGUUAGAAGCUUGAAAGAUGCAAUUGCAUCACUACGAGAUGGACCUGCGUUGUAUUAGCUAGUAGGUAGGGUAACGGCCUACCUAGGCGACGAUACAUAGCCGACCUGAGAGGGUGAUCGGCCACACUGGGACUGAGACACGGCCCAGACUCCUACGGGAGGCAGCAGUAGGGAAUCUUCGGCAAUGGGGGCAACCCUGACCGAGCAACGCCGCGUGAGUGAAGAAGGUUUUCGGAUCGUAAAGCUCUGUUGUAAGAGAAGAACGUGUGUGAGAGUGGAAAGUUCACACAGUGACGGUACCGCGCGAGGAAGCCACGGCUAACUACGUGCC